AGGAUGAACGCUGGCGGCGUGCCUAAAACAUGCAAGUCAUACGGUCUACCUUCGGGUAGACAGUGGCAAACGGGUGAGUAACACGUGGGAACACGCCUUCGAGUGGGGAAUAACGCUGAGAAAUCAGUGCUAAUACCGCAUAUGGUCUAACGACUAAAGCAGUGAUGCGCUCGGAGAGUGGCCCGCGUCCGAUUAGCUAGUUGGUGGGGUAAUGGCCUACCAAGGCGGUGAUCGGUAGCUGGUCUGAGAGGAUGGUCAGCCACACUGGGACUGCGAACGGCCCAGACUCCUACGGGAGGCAGCAGUUAGGAAUUUUCGGCAAUGGACGAAAGUCUGACCGAGCGACGCCGCGUGGAGGAUGAAGCCGUUUCGGGGUGUAAACUCCUUUUCUGCGGGAAGAUAAUGACGGUACCGCAGGAAUAAGCACCGGCUAACUACGUGCCAGCAGCCGC
rnacentral:rRNA from 1 species